AGAGUUUGAUCCUGGCUCAGGAUGAACGCUAGCUACAGGCUUAACACAUGCAAGUCGAGGGGAAACGGCAUUGAGUGCUUGCACUCUUUGGACGUCGACCGGCGCACGGGUGAGUAACGCGUAUCCAACCUUCCCAUUACUGUGGGAUAACCUGCCGAAAGGCAGACUAAUACCGCAUAGUCUUCGAUGACGGCAUCAGAUUUGAAGUAAAGAUUUAUCGGUAAUGGAUGGGGAUGCGUCUGAUUAGCUUGUUGGCGGGGUAACGGCCCACCAAGGCUACGAUCAGUAGGGGUUCUGAGAGGAAGGUCCCCCACAUUGGAACUGAGACACGGUCCAAACUCCUACGGGAGGCAGCAGUAGGGAAUCUUCGGCAAUGGACGGAAGUCUGACCGAGCAACGCCGCGUGAGUGAAGAAGGUUUUCGGAUCGUAAAGCUCUGUUGUAAGAGAAGAACGAGUGUGAGAGGGGAAAGUUCACACUGUGACGGUAUCUUACCAGAAAGGGACGGCUAACUACGUGCCAGCAGCCGCGGUAAUACGUAGGGUGCGAACGUUAAUCGGAAUUACUGGGCGUAAAGCGAGCGCAGACGGUUACUUAAGCAGGAUGUGAAAUCCCCGGGCUCAACCUGGGAACUGCGUUCUGAACUGGGUGACUAGAGUGUGUCAGAGGGAGGUAGAAUUCCACGUGUAGCAGUGAAAUGCGUAGAUAUAUGGAGGAACACCGGUGGCGAAAGCGGCUCUCUGGCUUGUAACUGACGCUGAGGCUCGAAAGCGUGGGGAGCAAACAGGAUUAGAUACCCUGGUAGUCCACGCCGUAAACG
rnacentral:rRNA from 1 species